UCUGCGGCCUAUCAGGUUGUAGUGGGUGUAGUGUACCUACUAGCCGACGACGGGUACGGGUUGUGAGAGCAAGAGCCCGGAGAUGGAUUCUGAGACAUGAAUCCAGGCCCUACGGGGCGCAGCAGGCGCGAAAACUUUACACUGCGGGAAACCGCGAUAAGGGGACACUGAGUGCCAGCAUCUUAUGUUGGCNGUCCGCAUGUAUAAAUAGCAUGUGUUAGCAAGGGCCGGGCAAGACCGGUGCCAGCCGCCGCGGUAACACCGGCGGCCCGAGUGGUAGCCAUUAUUAUUGGGUCUAAAGGGUCCGUAGCCGGUUUGAUCAGUCUUCCGGGAAAUCUGACAGCUCAACUGUUAGGCUUCCGGGGGAUACUGUCAGACUUGGGACCGGGAGAGGUAAGAGGUACUACAGGGGUAGGAGUGAAAUCUUGUAAUCCUUGUGGGACCACCAGUGGCGAAGGCGUCUUACCAGAACGGGUCCGACGGUGAGGGACGAAAGCUGGGGGCACGAACCGGAUUAGAUACCCGGGUAGUCCCAGCCGUAAACGAUGCUCGCUAGGUGUCUGGGAUGGUGCGACCGUUUCAGGUGCCGCAGGGAAGCCGUGAAGCGAGCCACCUGGGAAGUACGGCCGCAAGGCUGAAACUUAAAGGAAUUGGCGGGGGAGCACUACAACGGGUGGAGCCUGCGGUUUAAUUGGNCNNAACGCCGGAAAACUCACCUGGGGCGACAGCAAUAUGUAGGUCAGGCUGAAGGUCUUACCCGAAUCGCUGAGAGGAGGUGCAUGGCCGUCGUCAGUUCGUACUGUGAAGCAUCCUGUUAAGUCAGGCAACGAGCGAGACCCGUGCCCACUGUUGCCAGCAUAUCCUUAGGGAUGAUGGGUACUCUGUGGGNACCGCCGCUGCUAAAGCGGAG
rnacentral:rRNA from 1 species